CACCCCUACCUCUCUCUGCUGACUCUCUUCUGGGACUCAGCCCACUUGCACCCACGUGAAUAAACAGCCUUGUUGCUCACACAAAGCCUGUUGGUGUCUCUUCACACAGAGGCACGUGACACAAAGUGCUGGGUUUACAGGCGUGAGCCGCCACGCCCAGCCCUCUUUGCUGUUUCGUGUGAAAUUUAGAACCAGUUUUUCCAAUUUCAUAAACAUAUCUGAGGAACGGCACUGGAUUAUACUCAUUUCAGAAAAACGUUAUCUUGGGGUCCCACCUACACGCAGGGAGUGGGAGACAGUCACGCGGCGUGUGCGGCACAGAACACAGAGACCAGGCACCGGCCGGCCGCCCUGCCGAGCGAGGCUUCGUCCCGGAGACUCAGCGUGUGGCCUCCGCGUCACAGAAACGGUCUUCGUAGCUGUUUGAGGUCACACCAACGAGACUUCACUUGUGUUAGCAGAACUCUGCGGACAAUGUGACCCUGCAUGACAGCCGGGAGCCAGAUGUGGGGAGAGCGGCGAGCUGGCAGCCCGGACAGAAAGGCGGACGGAGCUGUGGCCAUGACCAGGAGCAGCAGCAGCUCCUGGGAUGAGAGGGAGCCCCCGUUCCCGGACCAAACUGAGGGUCGGGCCCCAUAACGAGGCGCAGUUGAACUGGGGAGGAACCCCAACCGGUCACAGGCAGAAGGCCUGGACAUUAUCUCCAGAGCAACUCAGAAUGACAAAGUCCUCCAGAGCUUAUCUACCCUUUAAGCUCUAUGUCCACGUGUAAGAGUGUCAUCUAAAGACCUACAUGAAGUUUGACGGAUCCACAGGAGCACAGUAAGGAAGAGCCUCCUGGGGCUGAGGAAGAAUCGAGACUCUCACCACCUGUGAUGUGGAUGGCUCCAUCUCUGAAAGCAAAGCAUUGAAGGCAGCAGGAAGAGAAAGACAGGAUUCCUGGACGAAAGCAUCUCAGCGGCUGCAGGGCAGCUCCUCCCGUUCCAGCCACAGGCUCAGCGGCCACGAGCAGCUGGAACUCACAGGUGAACCUACGCCCUGUCCAACAGAAACCAGAUGGGUGGGCUUGGACCCCCCAGAGCACACAAGUUCCCACAUGGACCACCAAAAUUGUAACCAAACACAAGUUCCGUUCCUCACCACUUGCAGAGUCCAGUGAUCAAGAGGGAGGCCUGGUGGAAAGAAAGUGACUUUAUUAACCAAAACUAGUCAUGGGCAAGGGGCCGCACUCCCGUCCAAAACAACCACUUCAAAUUCCUAGGGAGAAGGCAGUGACUUGUAAAGGGCAAGCUGGCGUGGGAGGCAGGUGCUGUGCUGGGUACAAGGUCUGUGUGUCUGUCCGCAGUGGCCAUCUUGGGUCCCAGUCCACCUGGAGCGUGGGCUGGGGUCAUCUGAUUAAUGACUGGGUGGCUGACUCGCUGCCUGGGGGAAACCUCUGGAAUUUUGCCACUGAGUUUCCAGGGUUGGUCUGUCUGUCUCAAGAUUAGGCCCUGGAACUUUUUUGAGACAGAGUCUCGCCCUGUUGCACAGGCUGGAGUGCAGUGGAACAGUCACAGCUCACUGCAGCCUCCUGGGUUGAAGUGAUUCUCCCACCUCAGUCUUCCGAGUAGCU